rnacentral:rRNA from 1 species
GAUGAACGCUGGCGGCGUGCCUAAUACAUGCAAGUCGAGCGAACAGAUGAGGAGCUUGCUCCUCUGACGUUAGCGGCGGACGGGUGAGUAACACGUGGAUAACCUACCUAUAAGACUGGGAUAACUUCGGGAAACCGGAGCUAAUACCGGAUAAUAUAUUGAACCGCAUGGUUCAAUAGUGAAAGACGGUUUUGCUGUCACUUAUAGAUGGAUCCGCGCCGCAUUAGCUAGUUGGUAAGGUAACGGCUUACCAAGGCAACGAUGCGUAGCCGACCUGAGAGGGUGAUCGGCCACACUGGAACUGAGACACGGUCCAGACUCCUACGGGAGGCAGCAGUAGGGAAUCUUCCGCAAUGGGCGAAAGCCUGACGGAGCAACGCCGCGUGAGUGAUGAAGGUCUUCGGAUCGUAAAACUCUGUUAUUAGGGAGGAACAAAUGUGUAAGUAACUAUGCACGUCUUGACGGUACCUAAUCGGAAAGCCACGGCUAACUACGUG